rnacentral:snRNA from 1 species
AUCGCUUCUCGGCCUUUUGGCUAAGAUCAAGUGUAUUUUGAGAUUAUUUUUGUGUAUAGUAUGAGAAAGUGGUCCAGCUUUCCCAGCACCAUCUGUUGAAGAGAUGUGCUAAGUAUU